AGAGUUUGAUCAUGGCUCAGCCUGAACGCUGGCGGCGUGGCUAAGACAUGCAAGUCGUACGGGUGCAGCAAUGCAUCAGUGGCGAACGGGUGAGUAAUGUAUCGCUAACGUGCCCUUGAGUCCGGGAUAGCCGUCCGAAAGGACGGGUAAUACCGGGUAAGACCACAAUCCCGCAUGGGAUGGUGCUCAAAGGAGUAAUCCGCUGAAGGUGCGGGCGAUAUCGUAUCAGCUAGUUGGUGAGGUAACGGCUCACCAAGGCGACGACGCGUAGCCGGGCUGAGAGGUCGGCCGGCCACAUUGGGACUGAGACACUGCCCAGACUCCUACGGGGGGCUGCAGUAACGAAUCUUCCGCAAUGCACGAAAGUGUGACGGAGCGACGCCGCGUGGAGGACGAAGUUCUUCGGAAUGUAAACUCCUGUCAGGGGUAACCAAGUUCUGAGGUGCCCCAGAGGAAGGCACGGCUAACUCUGUGCCAGCAGCCGCGGUAAUAC
rnacentral:rRNA from 1 species